rnacentral:lncRNA from 10 species
UCACAGGGCAGAUGAGUAGGCAAGAAUGCACUUCAUCACUCUUGCUCUCAGAGAGAAGGAAAGAGAGCUGGAAAUGCCCUUGGAAAGCAGCCUCCACAGCUACCUGGGUCAUCUAAAUUUGCUACAUUCCAAAGGAAUGACUGCAUCCGAGUGUGAUUUUCAUCCGCGCUUGGGAAAAUCCCCCUGAAGGAACCUGACACUUUUAAUCUAAACUCUGGGCAAACUAGCUGCUACUGCAUCUGAAUGAUUUGCAAGCAAAUGAUCCUACUCUCUGAAGCUUAUGAUUUCAUUUUAUUUUAUGUUUAUUUUCCCUCUCUGAAUGAAAAGUACCACAUUAGGAAGUCAGUGUUUGUGUGUGUGAUUUUUGUUUUACUUGGUUUUGUUUUUAUUCUCAAAUGAAAGUACCCUGCCAGUAAUCACUGGUGUUUUGGGAAGACAACCAGUAGCAGUGCUGGCUCCCUAUCUUGGAGUGGAUGGGCUUUAUGUCCAGGCAGCCAUCUGUGGGAGUGGUAGCCUGGAGCCAGGUCUUGGAGCUACCUGUGCAUGGCUCACCAACUACAUAAUGAUCACCUCCAGUUCAUCCCUCAGCUGACCAGAGAUUGUUCACCAACAUACUACUUUAGAGAUUUUUGUAUUUUCCAUAUAUUCUCACUAGACUAUGGUAGUAAUUCUAGAUUGCCUAUAUCAACAUGGAGCCACCCUUAUCCUUACGAAGAAAAUCCAGAUUUUUCGUGGCUGCUCACAUUACCACCAGCAAAAAACAAAUGAACAAACAACAACAAAACAAACCUCAACAACAGCAACAACAAAAAACCCACAAACAAACUAUAUUUUGUAAUGUUCCUGGCUGUUAGUGUGAGUGUAAAUGGAAGUGUUGUAUGUGAUUUCCAGGAAGCAUUCUUAAAAGAAGGGGCACACCCUUCUCCUCUUCCUUCUUCCUGCUAUGUGGAAUGCAGCUAUAAUAGCUACAUUUCCAGCAGCCAUCCUGGACACUGAAGCAAUGCAUCCAGAAAC